CUUGGUAUGGAUCCUUAAGAAUCCUACCACUUCUAAGUUCAGUAAUUGCUUUGGCAUUUUCAAAUUGAGGAUUCUUAGAUGGGACAUUGGAUUGAUGACUAGGUCCAGGUGGUUGAUGAGUGGAUGGAUUGUUCCUAGGAUUUGAUACUAGUUGGCUUGGGAGUUGAUCUGGUUCUCUCCUCAUGGUAGACUCAGCUAAUUAUCCUAUUUGUGCUUCUAGCCUAGUGAUAGAUUAUUGUUGGGUCAUGAUCAACUGUUGUAGUUAGUUUAAUCUAUCAUCAGCUAGAUUAGUCUGUUGAGGAGGUGGGUAUGGUGACUGAUUUUGAUAUGGUGGCUGG
rnacentral:lncRNA from 1 species